rnacentral:rRNA from 1 species
UACGAAGGGGGCUAGCGUUGUUCGGAUUUACUGGGCGUAAAGCGCACGUAGGCGGAUUGUUAAGUCGGGGGUGAAAUCCUGGAGCUCAACUCCAGAACUGCCUUCGAUACUGGCAAUCUAGAGUCCGGAAGAGGUGAGUGGAACUCCUAGUGUAGAGGUGGAAUUCGUAGAUAUUAGGAAGAACACCAGUGGCGAAGGCGGCUCACUGGUCCGGUACUGACGCUGAGGUGCGAAAGCGUGGGGAGCGAUCCGG